GGGGGGAGCAAGCGUUGUUCGGAUUUACUGGGCGUAAAGGGCGCGUAGGCGGCCAGCACAAGUCAGUUGUGAAAUCUCCGAGCUUAACUCGGAAAGGUCAACUGUUACUGUGCGGCUAGAGUGCAGAAGGGGCAACUGGAAUUCUCGGUGUAGCGGUGAAAUGCGUAGAUAUCGAGAGGAACACCUGCGGCGAAGGCGGGUUGCUGGGCUGACACUGACGCUGAGGCGCGAAAGCUAGGGGAGCGAACGGGAUUAGAUACCCCGGUAGUCCUAGCCUUAAACGAUGAAUGCUUGGUGUCUGGGGUUAUAAAGUCCCUGGGUGCCGUCGCUAACGCUUUAAGCAUUCCGCCUGGGGAGUACGGUCGCAAGACUG
rnacentral:rRNA from 1 species